GACGAACGCUGGCGGCGUGCCUAAUACAUGCAAGUCGAGCGGACUUGAAGGAGUGCUUGCACUCCUGAGAGUUAGCGGCGGACGGGUGAGUAACACGUAGGCAACCCGCCCUCAAGACUGGGAUAACUACCGGAAACGGUAGCUAAUACCGGAUAAUUUAUUACAUAGCAUUAUGUGAUAAUGAAAGACGGAGCAAUCUGUCACUUGGGGAUGGGCCUGCGGCGCAUUAGCUAGUUGGUGGGGUAACGGCCCACCAAGGCGACGAUGCGUAGCCGACCUGAGAGGGUGAACGGCCACACUGGGACUGAGACACGGCCCAGACUCCUACGGGAGGCAGCAGUAGGGAAUCUUCCGCAAGGGGCGAAAGCCUGACGGAGCAACGCCGCGUGAGUGAUGAAGGUUUUCGGAUCGUAAAGCUCUGUUGCCAAGGAAGAACGUCUCAUAGAGUAACUGCUAUGAGAGUGACGGUACUUGAGAAGAAAGCCCCGGCUAACUACGU
rnacentral:rRNA from 1 species